CACGUAGGGUGCGAGCGUUGUCCGUAAUUAUUGGGCGUAAAGAGCUCGUAGGCGGUGUGUCGCGUCGGCCGUGAAAACCUGCAGCUUAACUGUGGGCUUGCGGUCGAUACGGGCAUCACUGGAGUUCGGCAGGGGAGACUGGAAUUCCUGGUGUAGCGGUGAAAUGCGCAGAUAUCAGGAGGAACACCGGUGGCGAAGGCGGGUCUCUGGGCCGAUACUGACGCUGAGGAGCGAAAGCGUGGGGAGCGAACAGG
rnacentral:rRNA from 1 species